AUCGCUGAAAGAUGGGCUCGCGUCCGAUUAGAUAGUUGGUGAGGUAACGGCUCACCAAGUCGACGAUCGGUAGCCGGACUGAGAGGUUGAACGGCCACAUUGGGACUGAGACACGGCCCAGACUCCUACGGGAGGCAGCAGUGGGGAAUAUUGCACAAUGGGCGAAAGCCUGAUGCAGCAACGCCGCGUGAGGGAAGACGGUUUUCGGAUUGUAAACCUCUGUUUUCGGUGACGAGUAAAUGACGGUAACCGAGUAGGAAGCCACGGCUAACUACGUGCCAGCAGCCGCGGUAAUACGUAGGUGGCAAGCGUUAUCCGGAAUUACUGGGUGUAAAGGGAGCGCAGGCGGGAUAGCAAGUCAGCUGUGAAAACUAUGGGCUCAACCCAUAGAUUGCAGUUGAAACUGUUAUUCUUGAGUGGAGUAGAGGCAAGCGGAAUUCCGAGUGUAGCGGUGAAAUGCGUAGAUAUUCGGAGGAACACCAGUGGCGAAGGCGGCUUGCUGGGCUCUAACUGACGCUGAGGCUCGAAAGUGUGGGGAGCAAACAGGAUUAGAUACCCUGGUAGUCCACACUGUAAACGAUGAUAGCUAGGUGUGGGGGGUCUGACCCCCUCCGUGCC
rnacentral:rRNA from 1 species